GACGAACGCUGGCGGCGUGCUUAACACAUGCAGGUCGAACGGAAAGGCCCUGCUUUUGUGGGGUGCUCGAGUGGCGAACGGGUGAGUAACACGUGAGUAACCUGCCCUUGACUUUGGGAUAACUUCAGGAAACUGGGGCUAAUACCGGAUAGGAGCUCCUGCUGCAUGGUGGGGGUUGGAAAGUUUCGGCGGUUGGGGAUGGACUCGCGGCUUAUCAGCUUGUUGGUGGGGUAGUGGCUUACCAAGGCUUUGACGGGUAGCCGGCCUGAGAGGGUGACCGGCCACAUUGGGACUGAGAUACGGCCCAGGCUCCUACGGGAGGCAGCAGUGGGGAAUAUUGCACAAUGGGCGGAAGCCUGAUGCAGCAACGCCGCGUGCGGGAUGACGGCCUUCGGGUUGUAAACCGCUUUCGCCUGUGACGAAGCGUGAGUGACGGUAAUGGGUAAAGAAGCACCGGCUAACUACGUG
rnacentral:rRNA from 1 species